rnacentral:rRNA from 1 species
ACGAACGCUGGCGGCGUGCCUAAUACAUGCAAGUCGAACGAAACUUUCUUACACCGAAUGCUUGCAUUCACCGUAAGAAGUUGAGUGGCGGACGGGUGAGUAACACGUGGGUAACCUGCCUAAAAGAAGGGGAUAACACUUGGAAACAGGUGCUAAUACCGUAUAUCUCUAAGGAUCGCAUGAUCCUUAGAUGAAAGAUGGUUCUGCUAUCGCUUUUAGAUGGACCCGCGGCGUAUUAACUAGUUGGUGGGGUAACGGCCUACCAAGGUGAUGAUACGUAGCCGAACUGAGAGGUUGAUCGGCCACAUUGGGACUGAGACACGGCCCAAACUCCUACGGGAGGCAGCAGUAGGGAAUCUUCCACAAUGGACGCAAGUCUGAUGGAGCAACGCCGCGUGAGUGAAGAAGGUCUUCGGAUCGUAAAACUCUGUUGUUAGAGAAGAACACGAGUGAGAGUAACUGUUCAUUCGAUGACGGUAUCUAACCAGCAAGUCACGGCUAACUACGUGCCAGCAGCCGCGGUAAUACGUAGGUGGCAAGCGUUGUCCGGAUUUAUUGGGCGUAAAGGGAACGCAGGCGGUCUUUUAAGUCUGAUGUGAAAGCCUUCGGCUUAACCGGAGUAGUGCAUUGGAAACUGGAAGACUUGAGUGCAGAAGAGGAGAGUGGAACUCCAUGUGUAGCGGUGAAAUGCGUAGAUAUAUGGAAGAACACCAGUGGCGAAAGCGGCUCUCUGGUCUGUAACUGACGCUGAGGUUCGAAAGCGUGGGUAGCAAACAGGAUUAGAUACCCUGGUAGUCCACGCCGUAAACGAUGAAUGCUAGGUGUUGGAGGGUUUCCGCCCUUCAGUGCCGCAGCUAACGCAAUAAGCAUUCCGCCUGGGGAGUACGACCGCAAGGUUGAAACUCAAAGGAAUUGACGGGGGCCCGCACAAGCGGUGGAGCAUGUGGUUUAAUUCGAAGCAACGCGAAGAACCUUACCAGGUCUUGACAUCCUACUAACGAGAUAGAGAUAUGUUAGGUGCCCUUCGGGGAAAGUAGAGACAGGUGGUGCAUGGUUGUCGUCAGCUCGUGUCGUGAGAUGUUGGGUUAAGUCCCGCAACGAGCGCAACCCUUGUUGUCAGUUGCCAGCAUUAAGUUGGGCACUCUGGCGAGACUGCCGGUGACAAACCGGAGGAAGGUGGGGACGACGUCAAGUCAUCAUGCCCCUUAUGACCUGGGCUACACACGUGCUACAAUGGACGGUACAACGAGUCGCGAGACCGCGAGGUUUAGCUAAUCUCUUAAAGCCGUUCUCAGUUCGGAUUGUAGGCUGCAACUCGCCUACAUGAAGUCGGAAUCGCUAGUAAUCGCGAGUCAGCAUGUCGCGGUGAAUACGUUCCCGGGCCUUGUACACACCGCCCGUCACACCAUGAGAGUUUGUAACACCCAAAGCCGGUGGGGUAACCGCAAGGAGCCAGCCGUCUAAGGUGGGACAGAUGAUUGGGGUG